GACGAACGCUGGCGGCGUGCUUAACACAUGCAAGUCGAACGGAAAGGCCCUGCUUUUGUGGGGUGCUCGAAUGGCGAACGGGUGAGUAACACGUGAGUAACCUGCCCUUGACUUUGGGAUAACUUCAGGAAACUGGGGCUAAUACCGGAUAGGAGCUCCUGCUGCAUGGUGGGGGUUGGAAAGUUUCGGCGGUUGGAGAUGGACUCGCGGCUUAUCAGCUUGUUGGUGGGGUAGUGGCUUACCAAGGCUUUGACGGGUAGCCGGCCUGAGAGGGUGACCGGCCACAUUGGGACUGAGAUACGGCCCAGACUCCUACGGGAGGCAGCAGUGGGGAAUAUUGCACAAUGGGCGGAAGCCUGAUGCAGCAACGCCGCGUGCGGGAUGACGGCCUUCGGGUUGUAAACCGCUUUCGCCUGUGACGAAGCGUGAGUGACGGUAAUGGGUAAAGAAGCACCGGCUAACUACGUG
rnacentral:rRNA from 1 species